rnacentral:rRNA from 1 species
GACGAACGCUGGCGGCGUGCUUAACACAUGCAAGUCGAACGGAAAGGCCCUGCUUUUGUGGGGUGCUCGAGUGGCGAACGGGUGAGUAACACGUGAGUAACCUGCCCUUGACUUUGGGAUAACUUCAGGAAACUGGGGCUAAUACCGGAUAGGAGCUCCUGCUGCAUGGUGGGGGUUGGAAAGUUUCGGCGGUUGGGGAUGGACUCGCGGCUUAUCAGCUUGUUGGUGGGGUAGUGGCUUACCAAGGCUUUGACGGGUAGCCGGCCUGAGAGGGUGACCGGCCACAUUGGGACUGAGAUACGGCACAGACUACUCCGGGAGGCAGCAGUGGGGAAUAUUGCACAAUGGGCGGAAGCCUGAUGCAGCAACGCCGCGUGCGGGAUGACGGCCUUCGGGUUGUAAACCGCUUUCGCCUGUGACGAAGCGUGAGUGACGGUAAUGGGUAAAGAAGCACCGGCUAACUACGUG